AUAUUAUUAAAGGUAUCAAUAAUAUAUAUGUGGCAUUGAUGUUGUUAGAAGCUAAUAUUUUACAUUUUAAAUAUGUCUCUCUUGUUUGAUUUUUUCUGAGUUUGAUUGUGAAACCCCAUCUACUAACAUAUUAAAACAGUGUACACAAAGUGAUGUUACUUGAAUUUAUAUUCUACUUAUGUAGAGUUUUCUAAUAUUCCAUCUUUCUGAGGCAGAGGGACAUUAUUCUUUUUUAAUUAUAUUUUUUCUUAUUUUUUAAUUUAAUAUCUCUGGAUAUUUUUCAUAAUUUGUUAGCGUACAACAGUUAACAAAUUUAAGCUUAUACGUUAACUUUAGUUAUAACUUAAUUAAUAAUGAUUUGAUUGAUAGAUUUUUAAAGCAAUACAAGAUUGAAUUUAGCAGAAGGCUAAACUUCUGCUCUGGAGACAAAAAAGAAAGACAGCGAAAAUGACCAACCAAAAUAAAGAUUAAAGAGACAAAAAGUUGUGUAUAUUUUGGUGUAGAUGAUUUAUCCUCAGUUUCUUAUAAUAAAACAAAAAAUGUUAUUAAACUUUGGGAUUUACCUGUAACUCCAAACUCUUUACAGAAGUUCAAUGUUUGCUCUGAGAAGUUAAAUGAACAAAAUUUAUUAAGUGAUAAAGUUGUAUCCUUGAAAGAUAUGCUCUUAUUACUGGCACAAUGGGCAAGCAUUGAAGUGCAACUUGGUGAUCUACAAAACACAUCAAAAGCAGUUAUAAAAUUUUGAGUAACAAAGGUAUGCUAAUUAUUGUGUUGCCUGAAAGAGUGUCAUUGCUGUAAAAAAGACAAGAAAAUACUUAAGUAAAUGGUAAAUAUUUUUUUAUAAUCUGUUUAGGCAUUUUGUAUAAUAUCUUAGUACAAUUAAUAUACUUUAAAUAAAAUACUCUUUGAAGAUUUUUUGUUAAUGACUUUUUAUAUUAAUUUAAGUAUAAGGAAAUGUUAUUUUAAUUAUUGCCAGGUUGUGUAUUUUUGCAGGUCAACUAAUUGGCACAUAUUGCUUGAAGUUAAAGACGAAGGAGAUUGUAUAUGUUAUUUACUAAGAAUAGUUUUUUAAAAUGGCCCAGCUGUAAAGUUAAACUUUGCAGGGAGAGUACAAAACACUGGAAUAGGAAAAAUAUUGAUUGCAUAAGUUGCUAUUGAAACUGUCAAGUUAAAUAAGCAUAGUUUAUGCAGACAUGUGAUAGAGAUAGCGGAACAAAAAUUAAUAAUCGUGGGCAACAAAUAUCAUGAGCUAAACACGAUUCAAUAAAAAGUAGUUCAGCCAUUAUCGAAACUACUCUAUAAAUUUUAUAGUGAAUUUUUUCAUUUGUAACUCAAUGUCAGUUUUUGGUAUAAGUUUGGUGUUGGAAAUAUGUAUAUUUAACCAAGAAAUUAUGUUAAAUAAAUUUUAUACUUGUA